AUUUUAAAAUUGAUAAGGGUGAAAUUACUGAGGAGUUAAUCUGUAAAAAAAAAUGCUGACAUGGCAUUUAAUGUAAUAUUUGAAACUUUUCCCCUGACUUCUUCUUCUUCUCGCAUACUCAAUCCUGGGUGACUUCUUCUUCUCGCAGAAAGACCUAAUCUUGGGUGACUUCUUCUUCUUCUCAUAGAAAGACCCAAUCCUAGGCUGGGAUAUUUGGAGGUGACGACAACAGCGUGGAGAGGGCGCGACUCUGACGGCGUGGAGGGUGCGACUCUAACGGCAUCUUCGUAUUCUCCAGGUGGCUCGCAGCGGCGCGUUAGCCAUUCUUCUUCUUCUCCUUUCUUCUCGGAUCAGCUUCGUUUCACGUAAGGAAGAGAGGCCGACGCAACUUCGUCUCUGCAACGCGAUGGUCCCCGUUCGUGGGGGUGGCAGCAGUGGCGUCACCGCAAGGUUUCGACUCUGGCGACUUCGCAGUACAAGGGUGGCGGCGUAGUGAUUUGGGAUCCUUGAUUCUGCGAUUAGGGUUUUAGGAAUUGGGAAUCUGAUUUAGGGCAGCAGUUCCGCAACACUUUGGAAUUUUGGUAUAUUGAAAUUUGAUUCCUGCUA